GGAGAGGGACAGGAGAGCUCCCUACAGUGGGCAGAUGACUCUUUGGAGUGAUCUGAGUGCCUGGGCCCAGGGGCAGCCUUUAUCCACCCCCUGACUUACUACAUUCCUGGGUUGCUGGGGAGAGGCCCAGGGCUGUUCUCUCACCCCUGCUUCACUGCUGAGGAGCACGGGCCUGGCUGGCUCCAAGCUAUGAACUUGCACAGCAUCUCCCACUCCACACAUGAGGUGACUUCCACGAUCCUGCUCAACUUUUGCUGAAAAGUAGUCCUAACUUGAGCAGGAGUCCUUCCUAGGAUGUGCCCAGGGGCUCCAGCCCAGAGAUUGCUAAUUAGAGUUGCAGCAUGAAGACCUCCACUCAGAUUCCAGGUGCCUUCUGUCUCUUCUUCUAACAUUAGCAACUCAUUCCUUCU
rnacentral:lncRNA from 1 species